GCAAUUGUGCAACGCAUUUGAGAC
rnacentral:siRNA from 1 species